CACGCCGUAAACGAUGAAUACUAGGUGUGGGAGGUAUCGACUCCUUCCGUGCCGUCGUAAACACAAUAAGUAUUCCGCCUGGGGANGCAACGCGAAGAACCUUACCUGGACUUGACAUCGUCUGAAUAUCUAAGAGAUUAGAGAAACCCUUCGGGGCAGAUAGACAGGUGG
rnacentral:rRNA from 1 species